GACGAACGCUGGCGGCGUGCCUAAUACAUGCAAGUCGAACGCUUCUUUCCUCCCGAGUGCUUGCACUCAAUUGGAAAGAGGAGUGGCGGACGGGUGAGUAACACGUCGGUAACCUACCCAUCAGAGGGGGAUAACACUUGGAAACAGGUGCUAAUACCGCAUAACAGUUUAUGCCGCAUGGCAUAAGAGUGAAAGGCGCUUUCGGGUGUCGCUGAUGGAUGGACCCGCGGUGCAUUAGCUAGUUGGUGAGGUAACGGCUCACCAAGGCCACGAUGCAUAGCCGACCUGAGAGGGUGAUCGGCCACACUGGAACUGAGACACGGCCCAGACUCCUACGGGAGGCAGCAGUCGGGAAUCUUCGGCAAUGGACGAAAGUCUGACCGAGCAACGCCGCGUGAGUGAAGAAGGUUUUCGGAUCGUAAAGCUCUGUUGUUAGAGAAGAACAGGGACGUUAGUAACUGAACGUCCCCUGACGGUAUCUAACCAGAAAGCCACGGCUAACUACGUG
rnacentral:rRNA from 1 species